CUGUUUCUACUAUAAGAAAAGGCUCUUACAUGUCGACAAUGACAAUAUGCGUUUAGUGACCACCAGUCCAAUGGGAGUUUUAUUGCAUCGCCUCCCUUCGAGUGAUGCUGUGGCACUUCGAUCCUUCUUUCAUUCUAGUUUUAUUUAGCGAUCAGCAUCGCAUCCCUUCUGAGUGAUGUGCUUUGUUUUGGAUUUUCUAUUUCUUUUUUAGAUUUUUCAGGUCUGGAUCUGUAUUGUGCAUGUUGUUUUCUAAGUAUGCCCUCUUUUUUUCCUCCAGCUAUCUAUGAUGCCCAUAGUCUUAGGCGGUGGAUAAAGCUGCAUGGGCUGGAUUUAGAUUUAGGCUGAGCUAUAAUUAUUGGAUUUUAGGCUAGACUUUUCUUAAAUUUGUAUUUGCUGUUUGGCGGAAUCAACUUUCAAAUACAAAUUCACCUUUGCAUGUUACUGUGGCAUCAACAUUGACACUCACCAAACUCAAUUGCUACUGUAAAAUUUUAAAUUAUAUAUUUUUGUUAAAUAUUCAAUUUCACCUAUAAAUUUGUUUGAAAUGUUCUACUUA
rnacentral:lncRNA from 1 species